ensembl:rRNA 5S_rRNA 5S ribosomal RNA
GCCUAUAGUCUGGCUAUACCACCCUGAACGCUCCCGAUCUCGUCUGAUUUCGGAAGUUAAGCAGGGUCAAGCCUGGCUAAAACUUGGAUGGGAUUCUGCCUGGGAAUACUGGGUACUGUAGGCU